AUCCAGCUGAAGAGUUGCAAAUAGGACGAAACGCGCUUCCUAAAU
rnacentral:hammerhead_ribozyme from 1 species